rnacentral:lncRNA from 1 species
GUUUAGCUGUGGAGACUGGUGAAGCUUGGGUUGAUUCUCAUGUUGGGUAGCUGAGAUGAUGUGGCCUUGUCUAGUGUAGGAGAAACUGCCAGCCAGCCUACCCAAGCCACAAUCACCCUGCCUAGGUGCCCAGGCCAGCCUGCCUGAGCAUGCCCUGCAGGCACUUCCUCCCUGAGCCAAGCCUGCUCUCUACGCCCAGAGAUUGCUGGAAGAGACACCUGACGCAGAGACACCAAUGAGGAAAGGACAAUUCGGCAGUCAGUCGCUUGGGCCAAUAGGACCUUGGGAGAGGGUAUAAAGAUCAGUGCCUUAUUCAGUCAUCAUCAGAGAAGCUUCUUCCAGCAGCAACUGGAACACAUGCAGAGUCCCACAGCCAGACAUUACAUGGAGAAAGAGUCUAAAUGGGAGGUUUCCAUCAACCCCCUCCCCUUAGCACUCAGGACAUCCUACCAGAGAGGUGGCAGAAAGAAUGUAAGAACUGAAAUGGGUGAAAGACACCGGGAGAACAAGGCUUUCUAAACCAACCGAGCAAGAUGCAUGUGAGCUCACAGAGACGGGAGCAGCAAGCACAAGGCCUGCACGCAUCAGGAUCAGACCCUCUGUCUCUACAUCACAGCUUUUAGACGCAUGUGGAAGGAAUGAACAGCUCAGCUUCCCAGGAGCUACACCAAGCAGACAGAGAAAAUAACCCCAGGAAGAAGAGGCAAAGGGCCAGGUGAUGCCGUGUGCUCAGCUCAGAAGAAGCCGAUGGAGAUGGAGAGAGCCCAUGGGAACAAUGGCUUCAGCAUUUUGCUUCUAUCUUCCCUGUGAAGAUUUCAUGUUUCUACACUGGGUCCUGUGUUGGGGCUCAGUCCCCUGUCUGUGCAAUCUCCUUUCCAGGCUGCUCUCUGUAACCACGUGGGAUACAGCCAGUAAUGAUAGACCUCAUUCUGAGGGACCCAGCAGGGUCUCUCACUAAACCUGCAGUUGAUCAUGCUGACGAAAGUGGCUGGCUGGUGAGCCGGCAGGAGCUGCCUGUCUGUGCUGUGCCUCUCUCCCACUGGAAUUAAACACAUUCACCUCCGGAAAUGAGAAUGCAGAUGCCCAUGCUUUUGCAGCAAGCCCAUCACCUACUGUACCACAUUCCCAGCCCAACUCUUGCUGCCUUAACCCAACAAGCACCCAUGCAUGAUCUUCUCAGGAUCUUACCCUGAGUACACUGGCAGUCUAACUUGCUGUGGAAGGCAACUUUUCCACAGACAUGGUCACCCUGGACAUGCAUGUAUAUGAACAAAGCUAAAUGGACUCAGUUGGUUAUGUAUACUGUGUGCAUGUGUCUGUGAUAAUUAAAG